rnacentral:rRNA from 1 species
GAAUCUGCCCUCAGGAGGGGGAUAACGGUUGGAAACGACCGCUAAUACCCCAUAUGCCGAGAGGUGAAAUGAAAUUCGCCUGAGGAUGAGCUCGCGUCUGAUUAGCUAGUUGGUAGGGUAAAGGCCUACCAAGGCAUUGAUCAGUAGCUGGUCUGAGAGGAUGAUCAGCCACACUGGGACUGAGACACGGCCCAGACUCCUACGGGAGGCAGCAGUGGGGAAUUUUCCGCAAUGGGCGCAAGCCUGACGGAGCAACGCCGCGUGAGGGAUGAAGGCCUCUGGGCUGUAAACCUCUUUUAUCAAGGAAGAAGAACUGACGGUACUUGAUGAAUAAGCCACGGCUAAUUCCGUGCCAGCAGCCGCGGUAAUACGGGAGUGGCAAGCGUUAUCCGGAAUUAUUGGGCGUAAAGCGUCCGCAGGCGGUUUUACAAGUCUGUCGUUAAAGCGUGGAGCUCAACUCCAUUUCAGCGAUGGAAACUGUAAGACUCGAGUGUGGUAGGGGCAGAGGGAAUUCCCGGUGUAGCGGUGUAAUGCGUAGAUAUCGGGAAGAACACCAGUGGCGAAAGCGCUCUGCUGGGCCAUAACUGACGCUCAUGGACGAAAGCCAGGGGAGCG